GUUGGGCUGGCAGAAAGAAAGGGCUACUUAAGAUGGCGAAAGUUCCCGCCACAAAACCUGAGCUCCCACAGGAAAACAAAGACCCAAGCAGGAAUCUGAAACACACACCCCACCCCUUCCGGCCCCAGUGGGCCAAUGGAACCCUGACAAGCAAAAUCUGAAACCCCCGCUCCAGCUCCAGUGGACCAGUGGGACCCCAACAAGCAGACGAAUUAUCCAAAUAAGGGAAACUUGCCAAAAGACCGCUGAACUCCCCUCCAGACCCCCUUAAAAGCCCCCUUCUCCCUGCCUCGGGACUUCCCCCACUCGGCUUUCCAGAGUUGCGGAACCUCGGGGGAGGGUCCCCUCCUCCCCCCGUCGCAGUUUUCUUGGCUCCCCUUCUCCUGAGCCCUGAAACUGCGCCGGAGAGUGCCUUUAAUAAAUCUUGCCUUGUGCCUACUUCGCCUGGUGUGUUUAUCUCGCUGGAAAAGCUUUACAUUCGGUGUGAAACCGGGAGGGGAUCGAGCCUCUGCCUCCCCACGGGGGCUCUCCCCUCCACCUCCGGACUGGGACUCAGCACUUCCUUCACUCGGCUCUGAAAGUCGCUGCGGCUGGAUCGAGGCAUACUCCAUGGCCUGGGAAACAGUGGAUGUGGUGGCUACAAUACUCAUUGAGCACAUCAUCCCGAGGUUCAGAUUGCCCCGGACCCUCCAGUCGGACAACGGACCGCCUUCAUCUCCAGUGUAACCCAACAGGUAGCUAAGAGCCUCAACAUAACCUGCAAACUUCACAUCCCAUACCACCCACAGUCAUCAGGGUCGCCUACAAGAACUUGUCCGAGUGUCCGUCAAUCAACUCCUCCUUCAGCCCUACUCUAGCCUGCCCACUUCCGACUACCCCUAUGACGACGCCCCCCCAUCAGCAGGAAGUAGCCAGAACUGAGUCAAGGCCCCUGGCACCAUUAUAUAAAGCAAAAGGUCGGAAUGUUGGGCUGGCAGGAAGAAAGGGCUACUUAAGAUGGCAAAAGUUCCCGCCACAAAACCUGAGCUCAGACAGGAGA